AUUAGGACCCAACAUCGACCUGAGAAUAGGGGGACAAGCUUCAAUUCUGAAUAGAACCAUAGUGUGCAUGUCGGUGCACCGCUUCUUUCACUUCUACGGGAACGAUGUAGAUACUUCCCCUUACUUCCUUACAAGAAGAUACUGACAAAAAUCAGCUUCUCCUUUUACACUCGACACCAUUGUCUCUGUCCAUCCAUCAUGUCCCCAGAGACGUCCGUCUUCUUACUCUGUUUGGUUUUCCUACAAGAAGGAGCCUCCAUCAGACCUGUGGUGACCUUCACUCCAAACUACAAGAAGAUAUUCACAACGGAGUCUAUAACAAUGACCUGUGAUGUGGACUCUACUAUAGGAGAAGACCUGAAUUAUAUAUGGUACAAAGAC